rnacentral:misc_RNA from 1 species
AAGACUAUAGACCUGCGGAGUACCUGCGGAAGGAUCAUUAUCGUAUUGUAACAAUUGGGGGGGCCACCGUGGGCUGUCGCUGACCCUUUGAAAGGGGGGUCGUGCACGCCCCCAUAGUGUCAUCCUCAUACAAUCCAACUCACCUCUGUGCAUCACCGCGUGGGUUCCUUUCUGGGUCGAGUCAGACUGGCUCAGAAAAAAGGGGCUUGCGUUUUCCAUACAAUUACCCUUAUAAAUCCA